UGGGAAUUUUGCACAAUGGGGGAAACCCUGAUGCAGCGACGCCGCGUGAUUUAGAAGGCCUUCGGGUUGUAAAAAUCUUUUGUAUAGGAAGAAAAUGACAGUACUAUACGAAUAAGGUCCGGCUAAUUACGUGCCAGCAGCCGCGGUAAUACGUAAGGACCGAGCGUUGUCCGGAAUCAUUGGGCGUAAAGGGUACGUAGGCGGCUAGAAAAGUUAGAAGUCAAAGGCUAUAGCUCAACUAUAGUAAGCUUCUAAAACUAUUUAGCUUGAGAAAUGGAAGGGAAAGUGGAAUUCCUAGUGUAGCGGUGGAAUGCGCAGAUAUUAGGAAGAAUACCGGUGGCGAAGGCGACUUUCUGGCCAUUAUCUGACGCUGAGGUACGAAAGCGUGGGUAGCAAACAGGAUUAGAUACCCUGGUAGUCCACGCCGUAAACGAUGAGUGUUAGGUGUCUGGAGUCAAAUCUGGGUGCCGCAGCAAACGCAUUAAACACUCCGCCUGGGGAGUACGCACGCAAGUGUGAAACUUAAAGGAAUUGACGGGGUCAUAGCUGUUUCCU
rnacentral:rRNA from 1 species